UACGUGAAACCGCUCAGAGGUAAACGGGUGGAUCCGCAAAAGUCGGCCGGCAGAAUUCAGCGCGGCGCGCGGCUCCGGGGCUGCUGUAGUCUGGGAUCCCUUGGACCCAACUGCGGUGCUGCGCCGGGCCCCGCCGUGUGCACUUUCUGCCGGCAGAGAGCCACAACCGGUUCGGCGUUGUGGCGGUGAGAUGUCAGGUGGGGUUGUAGGUGGGGGCGCUUGCGUCCCUACCAGCCCUAUUUGUCGAGCCGCCUCCGGACCGAGGAACUGCCAAGCGCUUCGAGGCCACCCUCCUCUCGGGGUGAGUUCGACUGGGAGAGACUGGGCAACCGUGUCUCCUGAACGCUUACUUUCGAUCAGCGCGGGGCUGGCCGGGCGCAUUCAGUGUGGGUUUGUGGCGAGUCUGUCGGCACUCCACCCGACCCGUCUUGAAACACGGACCAAGGAGUCUAACAUGCGCGCGAGUCAUUGGGUGGUACGAAACCCAAAGGCGCAGUGAAAGCGAGGUCGGUCAAACGCCUAGGUGGGAUCCGUCCCCUGAAGCUCUCUCCGAGGGUCAUUGGGGGGCGGCGCACCACCGGCCCGUCCCGUCUGCGUUGGCAGUGGGGCGGAGCAAGAGCGCGCACGCUGGGACCCGAAAGAUGGUGAACUAUGCCUGAGUAGAACGAAGCCAGAGGAAACUCUGGUGGAGGUUCGUAGCGAUUCUGACGUGCAAAUCGAUCGUCAAACUUGGGUAUAGGGGCGAAAGACUAAUCGAACCAUC
rnacentral:rRNA from 1 species